CACAGGUGGUGCAUGGUUGUCGUCAGCUCGUGUCGUGAGAUGUUGGGUUAAGUCCCGCAACGAGCGCAACCCUUAUCCUAUGUUGCCAGCGGGUUAUGCCGGGGACUCAUGGGAGACUGCCGGGGUCAACUCGGAGGAAGGUGGGGAUGACGUCAAAUCAUCAUGCCCCUUAUGUCUUGGGCUUCACGCAUGCUACAAUGGCCGGUACAGAGGGCUGCGAUACCGUGAGGUGGAGCGAAUCCCAAAAAGCCGGUCUCAGUUCGGAUCGGGGUCUGCAACUCGACCCCGUGAAGUCGGAGUCGCUAGUAAUCGCAGAUCAGCAACGCUGCGGUGAAUACGUUCCCGGGCCUUGUACACACCGCCCGUCAAGUCACGAAAGUUGGUAACACCCGAAGCUCACGGCCCAACCCCUUGUGAGAGAGAGUCUCGAAGGUGGACUGCGAUUGGACU
rnacentral:rRNA from 1 species